rnacentral:rRNA from 1 species
UUGAACGCUGGCGGCAGGCCUAACACAUGCAAGUCGAGCGGAUGAAGGGAGCUUGCUCCUGGAUUCAGCGGCGGACGGGUGAGUAAUGCCUAGGAAUCUGCCUGGUAGUGGGGGAUAACGUCCGGAAACGGGCGCUAAUACCGCAUACGUCCUGAGGGAGAAAGUGGGGGAUCUUCGGACCUCACGCUAUCAGAUGAGCCUAGGUCGGAUUAGCUAGUUGGGGGGGUAAAGGCCUACCAAGGCAACGAUCCGUAACUGGUCUGAGAGGAUGAUCAGUCACACUGGAACUGAGACACGGUCCAGACUCCUACGGGAGGCAGCAGUGGGGAAUAUUGGACAAUGGGCGAAAGCCUGAUCCAGCCAUGCCGCGUGUGUGAAGAAGGUCUUCGGAUUGUAAAGCACUUUAAGUUGGGAGGAAGGGCAGUAAGUUAAUACCUUGCUGUUUUGACGUUACCAACAGAAUAAGCACCGGCUAACUUCGUG